rnacentral:lncRNA from 1 species
AUCCAAGGAUCAUCGCCCAACUUAUCUUCCCACACGUCUGGCUCAUCUCCCCUUCAUCCCGUUUAGGAUCCAUUCGAUUCAUCCUUUCUUCCUGUUUCGGAACAGAGCCUGAUAAAUCCACCGUAUCCAACUUCCUCCCAUCUUCUCCGUAAUCCUCCUCCUCCAAGAUCUUCUCAACAUCCACGUCCUCGCCAUCACCUGCAUCCAAAAGAUCAAGCAAUUUCAUCCCUUUCAACCCACGAAUCUGAACCAGCUGCAACCAUUCCGGGAUGCGAUCGGGAUGAAUCUUCCACAUGCCUUCGAGCCAUGCUUCCCAAGAACAGAACAAAGCCGAGAGUCUCAUCUCUGGCAUCGGUGGACUCCGACUUUCACGUCCGGAUCGGAUCUUCUCCCCAUUUCGAUCACGUCCACGGAACAGAAGCGAUUCCUCUGCAUUUAUCUUGUCAUUAUAUUCGGGCGAGGAUAACAGAAGUCAGGAGGCUAUAAAAAGGAAGAGUUAUUCUCCUGGAGGAGUCAGCUCUUUUCUGAUCCGAAGAAGUCUGAGGCAUCUCUUCUCAGGGGAGUUCCCACAGAAGUAAAAGGAAAGAGAGUUUUUUUUGGGUAUAGUGGGAAGAACUUCCACGGGAAGAAAAAAAAAUAAAAAAAAUAAAAUGCUACUUGAGGAGGGAGAGUGAGCUGACGGGAGGAAGGAGGGAAAGCCAAUCAUCAUGAAGUCCCCCUGCAGUGCCACUGUUCGAUUCUUCAUGCAAGGCUGAUUUCCUCUCCAGGACUGGAUGCAAUCCUAACAAAGGGACACGGAUUUUAUAUUUUUUUUAUUCUUGAAG